GCCGACGUGGCUUAGCUGGUAGAGCGGCUGAUUCGUAAUCAGCAGGUCGAGGGUUCAAACCCCUCCGUCGGCU
rnacentral:tRNA from 1 species